ACACAUGUUGGCCCGCUCCCGUGUCGCGGUUAAUCAACACACACGCACACACACACACAGGCACACGCACACACACACAUCUGGCUCUUUGACUCCUGUGUCCCUCCGUUCCCUUCCCUCUCAUCCUCCGCAACAGACCACUGACACCACCAAAGCGCUCGGCAAUGCGCCGACAAUUAACGACAUCUAUGACACCACCAGCACCACCUGCUUCCCACAUCAGAAUGGGACCUGAUGUUCCACCAACACUCCUCUCACGCUCUCGCUUCCUCCAUCCCCCUCGCCCUUGCUACGACUCACACCCUCUCGCUCGCG
rnacentral:lncRNA from 1 species